CAGUUAAACCCACAGUUACCCUAUGAGGUAGCUUAUCAACUUCUAAGUGUUUAUAUAAGAGAAAUACAACCAUAUGUCCAUCCUACCAUCCAGUGCUGGCUGUGGAAUUAUUGCUGUGCUUGCAUUGAUGCUAGUGGUUUACCAUUAAUGAAAGCAUUCAGAUGUCUGUGGGUGGACUCAAGAAAGAAGAUGGCAACAGAUAGCAUGUGGCAAUAUGUCCUGCUGGUUAAGGAAGCUACUCUGGAGCCAGAAAGUCUAAUCCAAAAGUUGACUCCACCACUUAUGAAAUGUGUGCACCAGGCCAAUCAUACAAGCUUCCUGGACCAUAAACCCUCCUUCGUGAAUAGGUUAAUAUAGGACACUGAAUAUACUCCCCUGUGC